rnacentral:lncRNA from 1 species
GAAGCACUAGAAGUGAAGUCCUUUUCUUAUUUUUUUAUUGUAAUUAGUAGUGUCAAUGAAAUGCCUUGUAACCAUUCAUGUUUUGCUUAUUAAGUGCUAAAUACCAUUCCUUUCUAAUAUGAGCUUUUCCCAAAGAGAUUUUAUUUGUGCCUGAUCCAUACUGGAUGCUUGUAAAUGACAUGAGUUGUUGAGGGAUGGCAAAGUGCCUCAUCUGAGUGUGAGAAGGUUCAUAUCACGAUCUUAAUUUACCAUACCUAUGAUUAAAUGUCAAGCCUGUAUAUUGAGUUUAGCAUUUGAAAGGUUCCUUGCAUUUGAAAUUGUAAUCAUAUAAUAAUUUAAUUAGCAUAAAAUAUACUGAA